AGUAUUAUACUGAGUUUAAAAACGGAGGAAAAUAGUAGGCUUUAAACCAGCCAUCUUUAAGAUUACGUUUUAGUUCAUUUUUAAUAAUUUUGAUUUUAUAAUAUUUUUAGAUUGUUUAUUAAGAUUACAAAAUUAAUUUAAAAUUUGUCACUUAUACACAUCUCCGAGCCCANUUUGUAUAUAAUAUUUUUGUUUUUAAAUUUAUUAUAAGGAAUUAGGCAAUAUUUAAUUUCCGCCUGUUUAUCAAAAACAUGUCCUCCUGUUUAAUAUUUUGAGGUCUAACCUGCUCACUGAUAAUUAAUUGAAGAGCCGCGGUAUUUUGACCGUGCAAAGGUAGCAUAAUCAUUAGUCUCUUAAUUAGAGGCUGGAAUGAAUGGUUUGACGAGAAAUUAACUGUCUCUUUUUAAAUUUUAGAAUUUAACUUUUAAGUUAAAAGGCUUAAAUUUUUCUUUAGGACGAGAAGACCCUAUAGAGCUUGACAUAAUAUUUAUAUAUGAUUUUUGGUUGAUUUUUUUAUAUUUAAUUUAAAUGUUUUGUUGGGGUGACAUAAAGAAUAAAUAAACUCUUUAUUAUUAAAUCAUUAAUUUAUGUUUAUUUUGAUCCAUAAUUUAUGAUCAUAAGAUUAAGUUACCUUAGGGAUAACAGCGUAAUUAUUUUUAAGAGCUCAUAUCAACAAAAUAGAUUGCGACCUCGAUGUUGGAUUAAGAUAAAUUUUAGGUGCAGUAGCUUAAAAAUUAGGUCUGUUCGACCUUUAAAUUCUUACAUGAUCUGAGUUCAGACCGGCGUGAGCCAGGUCGGUUUCUAUCCUAAGUUAUAUUAAUUUAAAUUAGUACGAAAGGACCAUUUAAAUAGAAAAUUUUUUUUUGUAUGAUUUAUAAUAAUU
rnacentral:rRNA from 1 species